AUUCCCCAGGCAAAAGUCCUUCAACGGUGUUGUUUUCCGAACCGCUCACUGCUCGCACCACUCGAUGGGUUUUGAGAACUUGCUUGUCUUGCCGUCGAUAGAAUAUUCUAUAUGCUAUAACGAUACCGUUUCUUUCAGACUCUUUGAUUGGAUCCCAGUAAAGACUAAUGCUGUUAAAGUCACGUGAGAAAGAUUCCAACAUCCUGGGUGCUCCGGCAGAGAGAUCUGAUUCCAGAAUAAUAUGAUACUUCUGGAUGUUACGUUAUUGCCCCAGAAGUUCGAUGGUGGAGCCGAAGGAACUGAAAGACUGUAUUUGAUGAUGAACCCAAUUAGUGCACCGUGCUGGUUGCGGAAUGGAAUCGGUCCCCAUGCGACAACAAUAGAUGUUGAGGUACUAGCCUGUAGGUUGAUUCUUGAUGGUGGAGCACUGGGGACUUGAAAGAAACAAAGGAGAGGUGAGUUUUAAUUUUUUGAAUAUCUAAACUUCGAUGCUAACUAUUUUAAGGAAUGUAAGUUUAAGCAGAAGGGUAAUCGAACAUCGAAUACAGCUCUGUUUACAGAUGAGCUUGAAAAGUAAUUAUUACUUAAUCUUAGGUUUCUUUCCUUUAGUCUAUCUCUAUGGUUGCGAACUGCCGAGAAUAUUAUGGGCUUGGGGACUUAAUAGUGUUUGGGCUAAACUUGCUUAAACCAAAAUCAAACGGUUUUUGUAUGGUUUUGAGCAUAUUUUGACUAUAUUCAUUUUUGGG